GGGUGCGAUCAUAUCAGUGUUAAUCCACUGGAUCCCAUCGGAACUCUAUAGUUAAGCGCUCUUGGGCUAGAGUAGUACUGGGAUGGGUGACCUCCUCGAAAGUCCUAGUGUUGCACCCU
rfam:Picea glauca, whole genome shotgun sequence.